rnacentral:rRNA from 1 species
GACGAACGCUGGCGGCGUGCUUAACACAUGCAAGUCGAACGAUGAAACCGGAGCUUGCUCCGGUGGAUUAGUGGCGAACGGGUGAGUAACACGUGAGUAACCUGCCCUUGACUCUGGGAUAACUGCGGGAAACUGUAGCUAAUACCGGAUACGACCCUCGGAGGCAUCUCCUGGGGGUGGAAAGAAUUUCGGUCAAGGAUGGACUCGCGGCCUAUCAGCUAGUUGGUGAGGUAACGGCUCACCAAGGCGACGACGGGUAGCCGGCCUGAGAGGGUGACCGGCCACACUGGGACUGAGACACGGCCCAGACUCCUACGGGAGGCAGCAGUGGGGAAUAUUGCACAAUGGGCGCAAGCCUGAUGCAGCAACGCCGCGUGAGGGAUGACGGCCUUCGGGUUGUAAACCUCUUUUAGCAGGGAAGAAGCGAAAGUGACGGUACCUGCAGAAAAAGCACCGGCUAACUACGUGCCAGCAGCCGCCGUAA